rnacentral:rRNA from 1 species
AACGAACGCUGGCGGCAGGCCUAACACAUGCCAGUCGAGCGCGCCCUUCGGGGUGAGCGGCGGACGGGGGAGUCACGCGUGGGAACGUGCCCUUUUCUACGGAAUAGCCUCGGUAAACUGAGAAUAAUACCGGAUACGCCCCUUUGGGGAAGGAUUUAUCGGAAAAGGAUCGGCCCGCGUUGGAUUAGGUAGUUGGUGGGGUAAUGGCCUACCAAGCCGACGAUCCAUAGCUGGGUAGAGAGGAUGAUCAGCCACACUGGGACUGAGACACGGCCCAGACUCAUACGGGAGGCAGCAGUGGGGAAUCUUAGACAAUGGGGGCAAUCCUGAUCUAGCCAUGCCGCGUGAGUGAUGAAGGCCUUAGGGUUGUAAAGCUCUUUCAGCUGGGAAGAUAAUGACGGUACCAGCAGAAGAAGCCCCGGCUAACUCCGUG